AUCCACGGCCAGGCUUCCAAGCCUCUUGUCUUCCAAGCCACACUUCAACUGAUUGUAGUGAUUGGUUUCUUAUAUAGGUGUGUUUUUUUUUUCGGAGACCGUGAAUGACAGCCUCCGGUCCGGGCCAGGGCUCGCCCUGCUCGGCUAGUCGUCCCACUAAGUCGUUGCCGCUGGAGUGUUUUCUUCGCAACCGAGUCAACUCCUUGCCCAUGGCGUUCGUUGCCACAUAUGGUGGAUUCAUUCGGUUGACCGCAUCAGAAGUCUUCCAGGAGGAGCUGCGCGGUAUAACCGAACACUUCAUUGACAUCUUGGAGGUUCAUCAGUGCUGAUCGCUUGUGAUGGGCAACGGAGAGCUGACACUGUGGUAUCGCUUUUGAAUUCUGCUGUUCAGCUCGGUGACGACGCGUGCGUCAGUUCUGCGUCCCUCACGCUCUCAACAAAAAAGCUGGAUUAUCUCCAUGGCUGACCCUUAUCCUUCUUAUACAUCUUUUUCUUUUCUGUAUGUCACAUUCAAUGGUGUCCUUAUAUGCUGCUUCUGCAAAUAAAACAUUUGGUUGCUAGUCA